rnacentral:rRNA from 1 species
AGCGAACGCUGGCGGCAGGCCUAACACAUGCAAGUCGAACGAACCUUUCGGGGUUAGUGGCGGACGGGUGAGUAACACGUGGGAACGUGCCUUUAGGUUCGGAAUAACUCAGGGAAACUUGUGCUAAUACCGAAUGUGCCCUUCGGGGGAAAGAUUAAUCGCCUUUAGAGCGGCCCGCGUCUGAUUAGCUAGUUGGUUGAGGUAAUGGCUCACCAAGGCGACGAUCAGUAGCUGGUCUGAGAGGAUGAUCAGCCACAUUGGGACUGAGACACGGCCCAAACUCCUACGGGAGGCAGCAGUGGGGAAUCUUGCGCAAUGGGCGAAAGCCUGACGCAGCCCUGCCGCGUGAAUGAUGAAGGUCUUAGGAUUGUAAAAUUCUUUCACCGGGGACGAUAAUGACGGUACCCGGAGAAGAAGCCCCGGCUAACUUCGUG